UUUUCACUGAUGGGGAGUACUUCAGCUUUCGACUGGGUUUGUGAGUGGUGACAAGGGCCAUAAACAGAGAGGAUACUCUUACAUUUGCUGCUUCCAGGAGUGCAGAACAGCAGAAGGAAUAAAGUCGCAGGUGACUUUCAAAAACUGCACUUAAGCUACUGACCAAUCACACUUGUUUUUGGGGUGUGUUCUUCAAGACGGGUGAGAAAGGCCAAGCAGGAGUGAGAUUAUCAGAUCAGGCCUCGAUUACUGGCCCACCACGUCACACCUGCUAUGUCACCGCCUUGCCUUGGAUGUCAUCGGAUCUACUCAGCCUCAGAUGCCUGUUCAAGAUGGCCCAGUGCUGGAAUAGUC